UGUGCGAAUAUGCGGAUACCUCAGAGAGCGCGUGUGUGUUUGUAUACGCGUGUGGUUCACCACACACACACACACACACACACAUCGCCGCCCCUCCCGUUUGGAAACCGCGGAAAAUGUGGCAAGAAAUCUUUUUUGUCGGGCCGCAUCAUAAAUAUUCAGCGCUCGAAGGUCUGAUCCGGGGCUCUCGGUUUCUUUGGGCCGCGUGUCUUCGCCGUGAGUGAAAGCAGCUGUCGCGCGAGGAGACAAAACUCCCCCGCGGACGCCGACGUGCGUGACAACAGACGCACCUCUCCUCGCACGUCCGUGUCGUGCUUACAUAUUUCCCUUUGGCGGAAGUAGAUUCCAGGAUGCACGACAGCGACACCCGAAUCCGUCCAUCGCUGCUGGCGGGCGUCCCGCUUGGCAGCGGCGGGCCGUCCGUUUCGUACCUGGGGGUCUUUCGUGAAUUAUAUUACGUGUCUCGCUUUCGUUAUCGAGUGGAUAGCAUUCGGAACUUUGCGUUGGAUUGUGGAAAAGGAUUCCACAGACGGCAAUUUGUAUUUCACAACCUUUUAUUUACAACUCAAGGCAGCAACAACCCUCCCGGUCUGCUCGGAAACACUCGGACAAUUUGUAGUCACCGGGUAAACAGAUAUUAUUUUUCCUGAAUUAAACCCUCCGAGUUCGAGCACACAUCCGCGUAGAAGGCCACAUUUGACCUCGCAGGCCAGACCCUACUGUAUCAUACCGUGCCGUUCUGACCCCGUCCUCUUCAAAGCCCAUCUGUAGGCGUUUAAGCGCCAGCUUCCCCACCUUUUGCGCCGAUCUCCGGUCCGCAUUAACCUCCCUAAUUUGUCUGCCGAAGACCGCUCUGAUUGCUACCAUGUGAUGUCGUGUGAAAGGUGAGGUGAUGGCUACUUAUCUGCGCAGACGGACAGCUCGGCAAGGUCAGCGCCGGCGAGGGUGGCAAGGGUUCAGGUGGGGGGAAACUAAAUUAAAAAAAAAAAAAGCCAUGAGAAAGUGAGCAAGUGAAAAAUGGAGACCACAUGACAGGACGGACAUGAGUCGGGGGGGAAAGUGAACGCUCGUGAGUUUUUCCUUUGACCGGGCUUUCAUCUAGCUCCACUUGUCCACCGAGACCUUUCCAGUUCCGCGUCAACGUCGUCAGGCCCGGCAACAAAAGGUAUCCACUUCUUCCAAUUCAACUUUUCUUCACCGGCUUCUUCUCCAGAGAAAGACCAGAAAGCUUUCCUAACGCCGACAGGGAAUUGUGGUGUUGAUGUUUGCAAAUCUAGUCGACGUCAUGCUACGGUUUUAGAUCCUUGACGCAGUCCUGCGGUGCUUCUCAUCCGAACGCUGAAAAGCUCGGGCUGACACGCGUGGUGCUAAACAACUGAACACCGGGAAUUAGUGACAUUUACGGCUUAACGCCGUGAAUUUAAAAGACGAGUUUACCGCAAUUUUACUUGGAGUCCCUCUAAUGGUUUUUCUCCACAAGUUGUGUUCUCCCAGUGCUCGUUUUGUUUCUACCAGGAUCGACAACCCAAAUCCUGGAUAUCAUGCUCUGCGCUCGCUGAAUUCAGAGGUAAGCCACGAUAAUCACACUUUAAAAUGUGGACACACACUAAACACAGCACUAAUAACUCACUUAUUAUGUUGUAUUAUGUGUGAGGUGUCUUUUAGCCGGAGCAUGAAGGUGAAAAGUGCGCUUGUGCGGGUGUGGUAACACACGUAAUGACAGCCAAACAAACCGCUAGCGAGAUUUGAAUGAAGUCACAUUUCGGUCCACGGGCCUACCCAAGGAAACACGCCCAGCUCACUCAAUGCGCAUCUCUGUCGGUUUUGUUCCUUUGUUUGUGUGUGUUUUUCAGGUUUAAUCGACUAAAAAAAAUAUAGGAGAGGUGGUCAACUUACCCGACAACUCGGUGAGGAUGAUCACAAGACGUUUGGGAUGCUUUCCCAAGCUAAGCCAUGAACUUACCCGCGUAUUAGACAAACAGUUAGAGAUCUUUACCCUUAAUUUGAAGUACAGAGCUGUCUAAUUCAUUUUUAAUUUUUUGCUGAGUUAAAAAAUCUGUCCGAGAAACCAUACUAGCCUACCCUGUGGGUGGCUGCAAAAGAUCGACAGAGUAUUCGGUCGGAAAUCGGAUCGACGAGCAGUAUCAAGAACACGAGUGGCGCAACAUUUAAACUCAUCUGCCAAUUAUAAAACCUACAAAAACAGUUAAAGCGACGUUCGCGCCAUAAUUUAGCUCUCCCACAGCGGAUCAAACAUGAACUUCAUGUCAGUUAUGUAAAUAUAGCUGUGACUGAUCAAGAUGAAAUGACUUGUCACUCGCGUAAUGACUUGAAAUCUGAAGCUCAACGGACUUGACGAGAACUAUCCGUUCUUCUUUGGUCAUUUGCGGCCAAAAGCGCAUUUGGCUGCGUUUUGUACGAACGCUCGGAAUGCGUGAGAGCUGCUUUGCGGUCUUAAGAGAGGCGGCGGAAGACUUUCUAAGGGAGCCGAGGGCCAGUCUCCCUCCUCGUGUCCUCCGGGGGAGAAGUCGCGGACAAGCGAACUCCUUGUGUCAGCCGGGCAACGAAACGCGACUCGGGCUUCUAGUUUCAACAACAGCCGCACCUGUGAAAAUACGGGCGCCAGAGCCACGUAUCAAACCAAAUAAACCCACCUCGGCGUCCAGCGAGCGCACGCUCUGAUGACAGGUGCCACUCGGCGGCUGAAACCGGUUGGCCGGUAAAAGACCCGGCUGGCACGCUGCUUUUCGGACUUAUAGAGGAGCUUUAUGUGCGGGAGGGACUGCGGCGUGCCAACUGGUCCGACGGUGCCAAAUUACCGCUCUACAUGGCAGAACUACUGAGCAAUAAACGUUGGGAACCAGUCAUUUUUUAAUAACGCAUUCCAAAGAAGCGAACUCUCACGCCAAGCUCGAGCCCAGGCAGAACAACCCCUGGCAGCAUGUGAGCCAUCCCGUUUAUUUACUGGCAACAGAACCUCGGCGCUUUGGUACCAAAUGCUGAGUGAGGUGCGGGUAAGCCACAUGUGGAAGUCCAAAAUGGCGUCAAACGUCUCACGAUGUUCCAAGCGUCCUCACGUGUCGCCAAACAUGCUGCCUGUUCUCCAUUUGACUCUGGGAGUCCACUGGAGUGAGAAGUUCAAUAUUUUUACCUGCCCCUUAAAGUGCCCGGGCCUCUUUUGCCUCUACAGUCUUUCUGAGUGUUUAUAAAAAGUCUGCACACCCCUGUUCGAAUGGCUGUGUUUUGUAAUUUAAAGAAAAAAUAAGCCCAAGAUAAAUCAUUUCGCAAGCAUUCAAUUGAAAAGUUUGUCAUCUUUUUAAAGGGUAAGAAAAAAUGAAUACAAACAACUGAAAUAGUGUGAUUGCACAAGUGUGCACACCCUAUUUUAACUGGGAUGUGUCUAUGUUCAGAAGUGUUUAAUAAAAUCACGUCCACAAGCUAACGUUAAACAAACAGCUUCCACCAGACUCUCUGUUGACUUGAAAAAGUGCCUCGCUACAUUCCAGAUCUUGUAAUAGAUUUUUAUUGACGUUUUUUUUCUUUUCCUAAAUUUUGUGCUAAAACUCUAUGCAGUUUUGAGCUGUUCAUAGCUCCCUCCUCAUUCACUAUGGCCCAUGUUCCAAGAUGAAAAAAAAUAAAUUGAAGGCGAUUAUUUCAUGGUCCAGUUGCUAGAAAGAAGAAAAAACAAAAAGUCAGGAAAAGCUUUCUAUAAUACAUCAAUAGAUAGAUCAAAAGAUUUGGGGUUAAAUGGGGACGUUUUACACGACUGACUCCCCACUACCUAGCUAGCUAUCCACUUUGUACAAAGUAAUGUUGCAUAAUUAAAACUAUAUUUAUUCUACCUAGAUAGCUAGCUAACUGUCUGUCAGCCAUUUAUCUAGCAACCUUCUUAUCUAGGUAGCUCGCUAUCAAGCUAACUAGCACUAUAGCGAGCUAUCCAUCCAUCCAUAUCUGAGCCUCAUAACUUUGAGGCAGAAAUGGUUAUUACUGGGCCACUUGCUUGUUCUGACCCUAACUUGCAAAUAUUGUACUCAACAUCAAUGUUAGAUUGUCCACACCAGCGAGAUCCUUCCGUUUAAUUUUGAAAAUAAUAUGAGGUAGAUCAGAACAAUUCCAUCACUCUUUGUGCUCCUGAAUCUACCAAAACAGGUGUUCACAUUCUUUCACCCUCCUCCCCAUUACUUUUUAUUCUCGCACCCGCUCCCUUCCUUUUGUUUAAUUGUAGAUAUAAAAAUGUCCAAAUGUUGCUCCUUUGAUGCAGACGGGCAUUCCUGGCAUCUCUUAGAUGUCGAUGCGGCUUUGUGGUAACCCAAGCCCUCUUGAAAGCAUUUUCCUGGGGGGGGCACGGACGGGGGCAGCAGGGAGCACCUGCAGGUCUGGAGCGGCAGCGACUACAGAUGCGUCUUGGACAACAUUCAACAUCAGUCGGCGGAUAGAAGAACGAUUUGAUGAGCGGAUGCUUCCAGAAGAUACCUGUAUGGCUGGAGAAUCGUUUGUUUGGGAUGCCAAGGACGUUGCGGAAAACCAGCUGCCUGUGCACCUGGGCUGCCGGCUGUCAUCACCGUGGUAACCGCCCUACAGCUGCCUGUGUCACUAUCAUCCGCCUCAUCUUUUUCUCCAGUCAUGAUUGGCAGCGGGAGACAAACAACGGAAAAUUGUUUAUCGAGAGGGACGGGAAACUGACAUUAUACAGUCAGCACUAAUGGAGGGGCUUCAAGUGUAGUACCAUGUUUUGCCACAACAUGCCGGGCAGCACUGAGGUUUGCAGAGCAAGGAGAAUUUAUAUCUCUGCUUAUCCUCAUGAGGGUCACAGGAGUGCCGGAGCCUAUCCCAGCUGUCAACAGGCAGGAGGCAGGGAAUUGCAUUGUUGAAAGAACAGACAGGAAGUGACUCCGUUUUUAUCCUCCAGAGAGCAUUUCUUUCAUCGCCGUUGUGUGAAUGUUGUAUAUCUUAUCACAGUCAAUUCAUAAGGAUGCGGUAGCAUUGCCGUUACUCAAUAGACAUGGACAUAUGUGCAGCUGAAUGACCCUGAAGACUCCCUGACUUCAAUUUUAUAAGUCGGGGCGGGAUACUUUAUUAAAAUGCAAUUAAUAACACUUGUGAAACGGAUGGAAUGAGAAGGAGGAAACAUAGUCCGAUAACCUGGAUUUAGGUAAAGGUCUGCUGACACAUUUGGGUAAAAAUCAUCCUAUCAAUAACUGUCAAUAACUUUUUUUUUUUUGCAAUUCUUCUUGCAAUUACACCACGGACCAGUUGAGAAACACUGCUCUGAGCAGCAGAUAUCUGAGCACAAAUGGUGCUGCGAUAAACGUAGACCAACCCUAUAACAAUAUUCACACGCAUCUUAAACUUUAUCCCCCGUGAAGACGAGAAACUACUGCUCCACUGAGAGGCAGGGAGAGGAGCCAAGUCUGUUGUAUACUUCCAACAGGUGGCUAAAACGUGCACACAAGAAGAGCAGCUGAGCAAAUAUUAAAAAAAACUAUUUUUAGUUGUAUUAAAUGUCAUUACUCUUUUUUUUGAUGGACAAUAUUAUAGACUGCUGUCUUCCUCAUCAAAGAAAACCAAUAUUUUGGAGACAGAUUCGUGACAUUUCAAGGGGGAAAUAUAAUUGGAAGAUACCAAUUACCAAUUCAAAAAAUAAGAGUACAUAUUUACAAGAAAUAAUGAUUUUUUUAAAUUACAAAAUGAAGUCAAAAUUCUGAUAAAAAAUGGAAAAAAUGUUUAAAAAAAUCUAAAUUAAUAAAACAAGUACAUUUUUAAAGAUGUAUAAACGUACAAAUUCAAAUCUCUGAAUGUAAAAUAUUAAAGAUGCAAAAGAAAUGGUCAAAAUAAAAAGUAAAAAUUGUAAUUGUAAAAGAAAAUUUGUACUCUAUCAAUGGAUGGUUGCAAUCGAUUCCAUAAUAACAAUUUUUUUUAAGUUACCAGGCAGCACGGGGGAGCAGCUGGUAAAACAUUGGCCUCACAGUUCUGAGGAUCCGGGUUCAAUCCCGGACCCGCCUGUGUGGAGUUUGCAUGUUCUGCCCGUGCCUGCGUGGGUUUUCUCCGGGCACUCCGGUUUCCUCAUACAUCCCAAAAACAUGCAACAUGAAUUGGACACUCUAAAUUGCCCCUAGGUGUGAUUGUGAGCGUGGCUGUUUGUCUCGAUGUGCCGUGCGAUUGGCUGGCAGCCAGUUCAGGGUCUACUCCACCUCCUGCCCGUUGACAUCUGGGACGGUCUCCAGCACUCCCCGCGACCCUUGUGAGGAUAAGUGGCUAAGGAAAUGGAUGGAUGGAAGUUGUUAAACCAAUCACAGACAAUCCCACACGUAGAGUAUUUCCCUGUCAGUCCAGUUUGAGAGCCUUGAUUUUUCUUGGCUGUGAAGUCUGACCUUGCCACCACAUUCCAGUUCUUAAAGGUAAAGGAAAACCCGUCUUUUGAGGCCCGAAGAGUUCCUGUCCCCCAUGUAAAAUUCCCAUUAUUGAACCUCGACCGGAGCGUGAACAUUCCACGAUGUCUGUCAGCGUGUGACCCCGGUUGGUGUUUCCUUUUGGGCUCGCCCCAUCAAUCAUCUCGUAUUUUCACACCGUCUAAUGGUUAUUUCAACAUGGGAGAGGUGGCAUGCAGCUGGCACUUGAAGAGCAAGGAAGGCUAUGAGCGCCCCGCUCGAGCAAAAGGAGCCCAUCAUCUGCAGAAGAUCCGUUUUCGUCGACUGAUGAACAGAAUUGAAACAUUUUCUCCCUUUGAUACCGGAAAUUUUGAGUGCUACUGUUUGAAUCCACAAAUUUUUCCCAACAUCUCAAGAGCUCCCUUUUGUCACCUUUUUAUAAUCUGGAAAAGAGGUGGGCAAAGUUUUGUGCGCGGAACCCAAAUGAAUUGACCGCAAUCCACCAAAGUCAUCGGGAACCUUGUUUACACGAGGCCCUUUCGAUCCCAGUGACAUCAUCGACUUUUUGCGGCACGGCCCGAUCCCGCAGCGACAAUAUAUUCCGGUCACACGGAGCGCAUCGGAGUGAAAACGUUCCCCCUUUUUGCCAAUAAACGUCAGCCGGCGGGUCGAUUCCGAGAAGCUCCCCUCGACCGUUCCAGUUUGAAAUAGCCGCAUUUGUUGACGCCACAUUGGCUAACGCAGCUGCAGCAUGUAUCACUUUAUGUAUUAAUCACUUUCAGGGAUGAUUAUGGCCUGGAUUUUGGCCCUUAGUCCUUAUCUGUUUUGUUUUCAUGAGCAGUGAAUGAUGACCCUUUCGCACUUCAAAGUUACAAAUUUACGCUUGAGUAUUUUUGAGUGCGUAACGCCACAUUGCUUGAAUAUAUGCUUUGGUUUCAAUGCCAGGGGUGGUCAAACGUUUUGUGGUCGGGGGCCCACAUUUGAAUUUUAAAACCGACGGGUGGGUGAGGUCAUUCGUGUACUGUAGAUGAGCGUCAUAAAAACAGUUAAACCACUUUGUAAAAUGGUGGGUUUUUUUAUAAUAAUAAAUCAAACUUAACUUUGUUCUUCACAUUGUACAUUUUGUUGUAUUAG